rnacentral:rRNA from 1 species
UGCGAGUCAUAUGUUCUUCGUGAACAUGGCGUACUGCUCAGUAACACGUGGAUAACCUGCCCUUGGGACCGGGAUAACCCCGGGAAACUGGGGAUAAUACCGGAUAACGCAUAUCUGCUGGAAUGCUUUAUGCGUAAAAUGGAUUUGUCUGCCCAAGGAUGGGUCUGCGGCCUAUCAGGUAGUAGUGGGUGUAAUGUACCUACUAGCCUACGACGGGUACGGGUUGUGAGAGCAAGAGCCCGGAGAUGGAUUCUGAGACAUGAAUCCAGGCCCUACGGGGCGCAGCAGGCGCGAAAACUUUACAAUGCGGGAAACCGUGAUAAGGGGACACCGAGUGCCAGCAUCAUAUGUUGGCUGUCCAGACGUGUAAAAUACAUCUGUUAGCAAGGGCCGGGCAAGACCGGUGCCAGCCGCCGCGGUAACACCGGCGGCCCGAGUGGUGAUCGUGAUUAUUGGGUCUAAAGGGUCCGUAGCCGGUUUGGUCAGUCCUCCGGGAAAUCUGACGGCUCAACCGUUAGGCUUUCGGUGGAUACUGCCAGACUCGGAACCGGGAGAGGUAAGAGGUACUACAGGGGUAGGAGUGAAAUCUUGUAAUCCCUGUGAGACCACCUGUGGCGA